UGGGGGUUUCUCUGAGGCCAGAUCUCCAGGGACUCCCUGCUGCAGGGCCGUGCCCCACCUCACCCGACCCGCCGUCAUGGCUGCAGAUCUCCAAAUCUGUGGCGGAGAACAGGGGGGACGUUGCCCUAGCAGCUGCCGAGGCUUUUAUUUAUUUAUUUUUUUUGCCUUAAGGACACCUUCUCUUCCCUUCCCCGCACCAGCCCGGACUUCUACUCCGAGAAGACUUUGAUCCUCUUGGAGGAUCAGAAAAAGGGCAUUUGUUAAGUCGUGACACACCCGCCAGCAUUUUGGUGGCUCCACAAUCAAAAGCCUGAGGAAUCAAAAAAAUCUCUCCUAACAUUCUGAAUGAUCCCCUUCCAACUUCCACCAACUCUCAGGAGGGAACGAAGCUUCCCCAACUCCUGUAGACUGAGGGAUGAAAGAAGGACACCUGCUCUCUGACCCGUAGGCCGAGGACUGACCGUCUCUAACCUGGUUUGAUAUGAAUAGUGCGUGAUAUACAAUCACCGUUCAACAGAUGUUUGCUGGACAGAAAAGAGUGGGUAUCCUGGUAAUUCAGGGGUUAAAAGAAAAAGACAAAAAUGUGGCUUGUUUUGGUCAGUUCUUCCUCUGGAUCGUGAGACUUCUCUCCCCAAGUCCCUCUUUGGGUUUGACUGUCAGAGCUAUCUUCCAUCCAGUUCACCAAUUUUCCCUUCAUCUCUGUCUAAUGUGCUACUAACCUUGACACUGAGUUUCCAAUUACAAAUUUGUAUUUUCAUUUCCGGAAGUUCUAUUUGGACCUUUCUCAAAGCUGCCCAGUCAAUUCUGGUAGUCCUACCCUCUCAUUCUAUCUUCAGUAAUCUCUCUUUUAGUUACUUACAGGUUUUGGAAGUACUUUACAUCCUCUCUCUGACCAUGCCAUUUCCCACAGUCUUUGUAGGUUUCACCCUACAGUGUGUUGCUUCUGCUGACACGCCCUCAUGGUAGUUUGUAUCCUCAUGUGUUAAGUGAUUUCUGCUUGGGAGCUCACGUUCCUGGGAACUUUAUCUGGGGGAAUUCUUUGAGGCCUAGUUUUAAGGUAUGUGUCCUCACAGAAGAUGCACAUUGACUUCGGUGAUUUCUGCACCACAACGAUAGUGUGAACUUUGGCCCCAAACUCAUAUGAGUGAGGCCUAGUGGAUGGAAAUUCUCAGGGGAGAUUUUCCCCCCACUCCACCCAGAGCCAAAAAGCGUGUGUCUCCUCUCUCUCUCUCUCUCGGGAGUGCUUUCUGCCUUCUACUUUACCUACUGAGAUCCCAGCACUAUUUAAAGGUCUCUGUACAGACAUCCUACCCUGCUCCAGCCUCGUCUUCCCAGCUCCAAGUGCUGGGCAGUUACCCGGGCUCUAGGCCACUGACAAUCAGCAGGUAUCCCUUACCCAGCGGUGGGUUUGUGCUUUUCUUGGUGUUUGGCCUCUGGGGGGGUUCCCUUAUUUUCCUGCCAUUUUUUAAAAAAAGACAUUUUGUUCAGUGUUUGCAGGUGUGCUGUACCGGGAGGGGGUUUCUGUGAACACGGAGUCCUCCCGUUGUAGGAGAUGGAAGUCUUGGGUCUGGGUUUCUAGACGCACAUCCUAAAGUUCCACAGGGCACGGAUCUACCUGGUCUUCUUCACCCUCCAGCUCAGCCCCUUUGUCCUUCGGGAAACUUA